GGAGAGGGACGGGGAGCCGCAGGGGGUUUUACCCCUGAGGAAGGUCCGGACUCCGCAGGGCAGGCCGCUCGGCGCAAGCCGAGAGGGGGUGACCCCUGGAAAGUGCCACAGAGAACAGACCGCCAGCGGCCCGGAUUUCCCGGGUGCGGGCAAGGGUGAAACGGUGGGGUAAGAGCCCACCGCCGGGGCCGCGAGGUUCCCGGGCACGGCAAACCCCGGCCGGAGCAAGGCCAAAUAGGGGGGCGGUUGAGGGUGGCCCGCCCGAUGCCCCCGGGUAGGCCGCAUAGAUGGAUGGCUCCCUAAAACAGAAUCCGGCCUAUGGCCCCCUCCCCCG
rnacentral:RNase_P_RNA from 1 species